AUGUUACCUAGUUGGGUCAUGAAACAUCUGCAAGGAAACAGCCCAGCUCAGGGGGCAGCAAGGACCCCACAGUCCUCCUCCUCCUCU